CCCUUCAUUAGAUAUAGCUUCAAGUGAAGCCAACAAGAACUUCUUACCAGACAGUAUUUACCUGUUGUUGCGUGAAGUGUUCAGCGAACGAGACGCAGAUACUAAAAUAAGCGCUAUAGGCCAAGCAAUUAUGCAAGCCACUCGUCCUCGAAUUUUGAUAGCCCCUCUACAAAUUGCACUGGGAGUGCAAUUACAUCACUUGACAUCUUCAAAAUAAAUUGUGGAACUCUUGAACAGUUUGGGGUUCUGUGUCUCAUACACAGAAGUACAGACAUUCUAUUCAAGUGCUGCUGUAUCGGAAAGUGGCGAUUUAAACAAUAACACUAUUUCGACAAAUGAAAACUUUAUACAGUAUGUUGCCGACAAUGUGGACACUAGAUGGAUACGGAACAUUCCAUUGGAUGGGUCUGAUUGCCUGCGUCACUCCAGAUACAACCAGUCGGCAAUUGUAACUUUCGACCAGCCUCUAUAUUGGAAAGCUAUGACUGUGGUUACCAACGAAUGCAACAAUAGUCCUCUAAAAAGAAUUUUGCUUCGACUUGAUGGUUUUCAUUGCACCAUGAGUUUUCUAGGUUGCAUUGGCCAGUUAUGUCAGGCUCCGGUUUGAAUGAAUUGUUAGAAACAAUAUAUGCCGAAAAUACUAUCCCACACAUGGUCAGUGGAAAGGCAGUGUCGAGAGCAGUAAGGGGAUUCCGAAAAAUGACAUUUUUCGUUGCUCACCUGAGCGUGUUCAAGAGAUAAGCUGUAUCGAAGCGAUGCCUUCCGAGAGACAUUUCCUCUACUCAAAAUCAUAGAACUGAAAUCCGGAGAAGCAGCGGUAGAAAUGUUCCUCUUGUUUAAGGUUGAAAUUAAGUUUACAUGUAACAUGCGUCUGUAAGGCCCCGAACCAACAUAAAGCCCGAUGCACACAACCUAAACAAGGGCAAAAGCUAUUACAGCGAUUACCGUUGAGCUACACGCAUGAGGAUAACGCGCCUCCAUGUACCUCUUCAAAAUGAACACAUGCUACAACGAAAUCUGCGAAAACGGACAAAGCUUACCGAAAGUGCCAGUCGGAUCAACUUCUGAAUUCUGUGCCUCACAAAAAGUCCACUAGCAUAGCAAGAUACGCAUCACCCAGUGAUUCGGAGACUGAAUUCCAACUAGAACAAUAGAUAUGUGACGUGUCUGCAGGAAUACACUUAAACGACUCGCCAUAUUUAAAACUUCUCGCGUGGGGCGAGUGCGUUAUGUGCAGCAACUGAGUAAACAUUAAAUUCUAAACACAAGAAAGAAACGUCAAUUUCCUAUACUCUCAUUGUAAAGUUAGUUUUGCGACUAAACGGAUAUUGUUCGAUUGCGUUUCCUUCAAUUUUAUGUUUUCUUUAAUAUAGGUUAAAUUAUGGUAAUUGUAAAAGAAGAUUAAAUUUAAAACGAUA